rnacentral:rRNA from 1 species
UACAGAGGGUGCAAGCGUUGUUCGGAAUUACUGGGCGUAAAGCGCGUGUAGGCUGCGGAGUAAGUCGGAUGUGAAAUCCCUUGGCUUAACCAAGGAAGUGCAUCCGAUACUGUUUCGCUUGAGUGUCGGAGGGGAUGGCGGAAUUCCCGGUGUAGAGGUGAAAUUCGUAGAUAUCGGGAGGAACACCAGUGGCGAAGGCGGCGAUCUGGGAAGAUACUGACGCUGAGGUGCGAAAGCGUGGGGAGCAAACAGG